rnacentral:rRNA from 1 species
AACUAGUUUUUGCUUUUAUAUUACUGGUGUGACCUGCCCAGUGAGAAAAAUUCUUUAACGGCUGCAGUAUCCUGACUGUACAAAGGUAGCAUAAUCAUUUGGCUCUUAAUUGGAGUCUGGUAUGAAAGGUUUCACGGAAUUUAGCUGUCUCCCCCUAUUUUAUUAAAAUUUGAGUGGACGAUGAAGACGUCGUCAUGAGUCAAAAGGACGAGAAGACCCCAGGAGCUUGACCCAUUUUUGGCGAUUAAUAGCUCAGGGCUCGAAAAUGGGUUUUAGUUGGGGCGACUCUGGAACAAGAAAAACUUCCAGAAAAAAUAGAUAUCAAAGAUGAACCUUAAUGAAAAGAGUUGAGAGGGUUAUAUGAUGAUCCAAGUUACCCUGGGGAUAACAGCACAAUUUUUUAAAGGAGAUCUCAUCCUCUAAAAAGCUUGUGACCUCGAUGUUGGACUAAGGAAAGGUUUUGGUGCAGAAGCUAGAGAACCUGGGUCUGUUCGACCCUUAAACCCUU